AUUCAGCUGACUAGUGUGAAAUAGGACGAAAUGCGCGUCUUGGAU
rnacentral:hammerhead_ribozyme from 1 species